AAAUAUAGAGACAAAGCUGCAUUUUGGUCGUUUUGUUGUACGCUUUUCCGUCUUUCUUUUUUUUAUGGAAGGUAUGGGAUGGCCUGGAAGAGCAACAGACACCGCGGCGACUGCCAUUCUUUCUGCUGAAAUCAGGGAUUUUCAUUGUGAACUAAAACUGUGAUAAUGUAGGUUAAGGAUUCUAUUGUAUCUUAUCCUACAUAUUGAAUUCAUCAGCGGUGCAGGAUUUCAGCACACGACCAAUAUCCACUCAAGCGUGUCGAAUAAGUAAAUAGUAUACAUUUUAUGUCAGCACUUUUAUUAUUGAAUAUGCUCUCUUGAUUUUACCCUCAUCAAGGCGUUUUCAUAUUUAAAAAAUAUAAGUUUUGGAGAUACAAUUUAUUGCUUACUGUUUGAGUAUACAUUUAUACUAUAACCAGAAAGUAGUUCGCACAAAGAAUAUGAAUGACGGAUUUUUGCGUUCUGUGGGCGUGGCCAAAAUAUUUUUCCCAAUAGCUUGCAAGACAAAAAAAUCAAAACAUUGUUUUAAGUGUGUAUCGGUUUUGCGCGAGUUAACUCCUUGUGUAGGUUCAGGAGAUAGAAGUGAGACUUUGAUUUGAUGUUGAUUCCCAGAGAAAGUUUGGAUUGGUACAUUUACGACCGUAAACUAGAAGUGGAGCGGAUGCGAUUCUGUGUCGUCAAGUGGCCCCGAUGCUUAGAUCGAUUCAGAAUCUCCAGUGCUAAUCGACAAAGACUCAGCGUUCAAGUGGUCGCCGAUGCAGCAUUUCGGAUGUUUGUUGAUACUAUGUUUUAGCGUUUAAGUGGGCCGCAACAAUGUACUUGGUGAUAUAUAGUUACUGGUACCGUAGCAGGUGUAGCUAUAGUGGGUGUGAAGGUGGCAUGUGGUGUAGUCUCUGGUGUGAAAAUUGUUGUGUUCUUUGGGAAACAUGCGACGACAAAUACUACUAUCAGUAGUAUAUCGAGCAUCGUGUAAGUCCUUGUUGUUUGGAUCGUGGUUUCCCACUGUAAUUUGUUGAUCUGCAUUUUUGUUUCCAUAUCCUCCAUCCUCAGCUGUUGUAUUCCCAACUGGUGGGUUGUCCUGUUUCUCUUAAUCGUCUCUACCCGAGGUAUGUCCAACAUCAAUUCUUCUGUGCCAAGCCUCUCCACCGCUUCGUAUUGUACGUUGUACACCAUCGCCUUGCAAUGGGUGAAUGUUUUGUCGACUCCGAAAUCCGUCUGCAGUUUGACAUUCCUUCCAUUGAAAUUUGCGAUGUAGCCGGGCUCCGGUUCAAAGACCGUUGCGACCAAUCCGACGUCCUUCGCCUCGCCUUCGCCUUCAAAUUUGGGCGGUAACAAAAAUAGCACUGUAGUAGUUUGCUAAAACUAAAUAAAAAAAAGAAUUCAACAAAUGGAUUAUAUCUGAAGAGCUGUUGGCAAUGACAGCUGCGCAUCGUCUUGGCAUGGAAUCCAAGUCCUGGCACCGUUUUUGAGGAAUUUUGCUCCAUGAAUCCUUGACCACACCCCAAAGUUCCUCGUUAUUAUUGGGUUUGGCUUUAGAAACC
ensembl:ncRNA lncRNA:CR46450 long non-coding RNA:CR46450